rnacentral:rRNA from 1 species
UACGUAGGGGGCAAGCGUUGUCCGGAAUCAUUGGGCGUAAAGCGCGUGUAGGCGGUCCGGUAAGUCGGCUGUGAAAGUCCAGGGCUCAACCCUGGGAUGCCGGUCGAUACUGCCGGACUAGAGUUCGGAAGAGGCGAGUGGAAUUCCCGGUGUAGCGGUGAAAUGCGUAGAGAUCUGGAGGAACACCGAUGGCGAAGGCAGCCCCCUGGGCUAACACUGACGCUCAUGCACGAAAGCGUGGGGAGCAAACAGG